GUGCCAGCAGCCGCGGUAAUACAGAGGUCUCAAGCGUUGUUCGGAUUCAUUGGGCGUAAAGGGUGCGUAGGCGGUAUGGUAAGUCGGAUGUGAAAUCUUGGGGCUCAACCCCAAAACUGCAUUCGAUACUGCCGUGCUUGAAGGCUGAAGAGGAGAUUGGAAUUCACGGUGUAGCAGUGAAAUGCGUAGAUAUCGUGAGGAAGGCCAGUGGCGAAAGCGAAUCUCUGGACAGCUCUUGACGCUGAUGCACGAAGGCCAGGGGAGCAAACAGGAUUAGAUACCCUGGUAGUCC
rnacentral:rRNA from 1 species